AGAACUGGCUUGUCGCGAAGAGGGCAAAACUCUUAGUGAAUUGAUUGAAAUCACAAUCCAACUGGAUAAUCUCAUCAGAGCACGCUGUGUACCAAAGCUGCGACGCCUCCCUGAUCUCGAACCGACGCAGAAUGAACCCAUGCAACUCAGUUACACUCAGUUAACUCCGGAGGAGUGCGAACGCAGAUUGCAGAACCAUCUCUGUCUAUAUUGCGGAGAAUCUGGGCAUCGACGCAUUAAUUGCACGGUCCGUCCAGCUCGAUUGUGGAAGCGCUAGACGGACGUCCUAUUGGAAAUGGAAGGAUCCAGCAUGUCACGACAUCCCUUAAUUUACAAAUCGGGGCGCUACAUAAGGAAAGGAUCAAUUUCUAUAUAAUUCAACCAUCUAGACAUCCUGUAAUUCUCGGCUUACCCUGGCUGCGCCAGCACGACCCUCACAUUUCCUGUUAGAAGGGGCAAAUACUCCAGUGGGGCUCGACUUGUUUACAUCAAUGACUUGAUGAGAUCACUAAGCUUCCUGUCCAGACAAUAAGUAUACAGUCCCUUCAAGAUCAAGAGUUUACCACAUUACCAACAGUAUAUUCUAAUUUGACCGAGAUGUUCAGCCAGCAAAGCGCUACUCACUACCACCUCAUCGCCCCUAUGACUGUGCAAUUGAGCUGCUGCCAGGUAUGAUACCCCCCAAGGGAAGAAUAUUUCCACUGUCUCAGCCCGAGUCAGAAGCCAUGAACUCCUACAUCCAGGAAGAACUAAAAAAAGGAUUCAUUCGCCUAUCUACUUCACCGGCGGCGGCCGGUUUCUUUUUCGUUUAGAAAAAAGAUGGUAAUCUGCGUCCAUGCAUUGAUUAUCGUGGUCUCAAUGAGAUCACAGUCAAAUAUAAAUAUCCCCUUCCUCUGGUACCAGCAGCCCUAGAACAACUACGUCAGGCUAAAAUCUAUACCAAACUCGACUUGCGGAGUGCCUAUAAUCUAAUACGGAUAAAGCAGGGAGACGAGUGGAAGACCGGGUUUUCCACCACCAGGGGGCACUAUGAAUACACCGUGAUGCCCUUCGAGCUGGCCAACAGUCCAUCCGUCUUUCAGGCAUUUAUGAAUGAUGUCUUCCGUGACAUGCUGGAUCGGUGGGUAAUCAUCUAUAUAGACGACAUUCUGAUCUACUCUAAUACUAUGGAGGAACACAUCCAACAUGUAAGAGCAGUGUUACAGAGGCUUAUUCACCAUGACCUUUAUGCAAAAUUUGAAAAAUGUGAGUUCCAUCUGACAAGUGUCUUUCCUGGGCUACAUUAUCAGCACGGAAGGAGUUACCAUGGAUGAGAGAAAGGUAACUGCCGUACAGGAGUGGCCACUCCCCCAGACUUUAAAGCAGCUACAACGCUUCCUGGGCUUCGCAAACUUCUAUAGAGGAUUUAUUAGAAACUUCAGUAUCCUAGCGGCUCCCCUCACCUCAAUGACUAAACGCAGUCACGCUAAGUUAAUCUGACAACCCGAAGCUAUACAGGCCUUCUCAGUGCUAAAGGAGAAAUUCACCUCCGCGCCAGUGUUACAUCAUCCUAAUCCCGAACUACCUUUUGUGGUGGAAGUAGAUGCCUCCAACACAGGAGUAGGGGCGGUACUCUCUCAGCACCAGGACAUCCCCGAGAAGAUGUAUCCAUGCGCCUUCUUCUCAAUCAAGUUGAACGUAACUAUGACGUCGGUAACAGGGAACUCCUAGCUAUCAAGCUUGCACUGGAGGAAUGGCUACAUUGGUCAGAGGCUACAUUGGUUACCGUUUCUGAAGCUAUCUGCCUGCCCUGACCACUGCGUAGUUAUAUUGAUUCCAUCUGCCAGCCGCCUGCCCCGAAUCUCUGCCUGUCUCUCGUUAAAGAUUACUCUCUCCUAACCUCGACCCACGCAUGCUCUUCGACUAUUCUACUGGAAAGUUCCCAUUUAAUCUUAUGUUUUUGAGUUUCCACCUGUUAUAUCUUACUGUUAUUAAAGUGUGCAAAUGGAUCCAGAAA